rnacentral:lncRNA from 1 species
GACAGGCUUCCUUCCCCUAGCAGAUACAGGAAAAGAUCCUGCUGUUCCAUAGACCUAUAUAAUCCAGGCUAUCUCAUGGAGAGGAUCCUAGGUCCCAAGGAACAUUCUAAAUGAAUAAAGAAUGACAGGGGACAGAUCACCAAAGGCUAAAACAGGCACACUGUGCUCUUAGUCUAGAAGGAUGUACGAUGUCUACAUGGUAUCUAUGGCAACAGUCUAUUAGCCAGAAUUUGGUUACACCAGCUCUUGUCCCCAUUCAUUCUAGAAAAUACAGAACUGCUGGUCUUUUUAGAAACCUUGCUGGAAAAAUAUGAAAAAAAAAAAUAGUAUUCACCUCCAACCUCUUACAUGAAAAGACAUUGAUGUUAACUUUUAGUGUCACAAACUUGGGAUUGUGUUUAGUGCCUGCUUCUGUGCCCUGUUCAUUGUAUAUUGUAUUCAGACCCUUAGCAUUUCUCUGUAAUAAGAAAAGCUCUAUGAGAACAGUGAUACUGUGGGCUGGGAUUUGGAGGACCUGCUGUGCUGUGUGAUCUUGCAGGAUCAGUUGAUUUCUCUGAGCCUUGUUCCUUGUCUCUGUGUAGGGACAGAGACCAAUGGUUGUUUCUCAGGCUCUGCGUAGGGGAUAUGGAUAUGUUGCCUGUCUCAAGAUACGUAACGGUGACAGCUUUGCCCUCCUUAGACGAAAGAAAGCCUGGUGAUGUUUGUGGCAGGGCAGGCACUGGACAACACUUUCCAGGUAUAUAGUUAGUGGGAUGCUGAGGACCUGGCUAGUGCUGCCUCCAGUAAGCACUUUACCACCUCUUAGCCCAGGACUUUGCAUCUCUGAACACUAGCCCCCACAUAGCCUCAGAAGCCAGUGAUGGUUUGCCAGUUACAUUGAUGGAAGCAGGGUAACUGCUCAAAGAAAGGAGUAUCUUGUUACUGUCUGGAUGAUGGGACUGGGGCCUGGCAUUGACUCUUGGUCCUGCAGUGCUCAUCAGGACUUCAGGAACCUCAGGAUAUUGUAUCCAUGACCAAUCCUCACCAAGUCAGCUGCCCAGGACCCAUAUUCAGAAAUCCCUGGUGCAUGCUACAGCUCUGCCAUCUCUGAUGAGAUCUCACUGUUUUCAGCAAGGGCCUUACAUGUCAGCAAAGCUUCCCUGACUCUUGGCCGCAGAAUUGCGUGACGUUCCCACAGCUCUAUCUGCCUGUCCCCUAUACAGUGGAGAACUCUGCUCUGAGGUCAGGUGCUUACUAGGAUCACAGGGGAUAAGGGUCUGGUUGGCCAUUAUAAACUCUUGGUCACACAUUCUGGGGGACAUGGGAUGAUAGGAGUCUUGGACUGGACAUAAGAAAAGGAGGCACACACAAUAGGGAUACCACCGCCUCACCUCCUAGUCUUCUUGGGCUAGGUGGGUAGUACCAGGCAGUGAAGUUAGGCAAGAUAUACUUGGUACCCGUCCAUGAGGGAGAUAGAAGAACAGGGUCAGGCCACUGAGUAUUCAGAAGGCUGGAUAAUGGUGCUCAGCAGUUUGAGGGGAAGCUAAGAGUGUGUCAGAGGGCAGCACAUAUAGGGCAGGCCUCAGGCAGCUUAGCGGGAAGGGAGCUAAAGGAAGCAGGCAGAAUGGUUUUCCAUCUACACAGAAGCCAGCGGCCGGAGCAGAGCUUCUGCCUUUCCUACCAGGCCACCCCAGGAUUGAGGCAGUUGAGCCUCAGAAUAGAAGUGAGCAUGUGGCUCUCUUUCCAAAGGAGGAGACAAAACAGGGCUCUGCCUUUUUAAUAUUCCAAUCAACUUUUAGGGGCUGGGUCUGGUGAGGGGCACAGGACAGCCUAGGGCAUGUUGAGAGCAGACUUGGUGGACCAUAGGAUAUGAGUUUGCAGACCUGUCCUAGGGGUCUGGGAGAGGCUAUGCAAUGCAAAGAAGGGAAGAACUGAUUCCAGUGAGGACACUGGGAAAGGACAAGGUCUGGUGUCUACUCAAGCACAGAGAGAGCCGCUGCAGUCCAGAAGGUCUUAGGGCUGGAGCUCAGUAUACUAAGGGCAGG